rnacentral:tRNA from 1 species
GAGAGAGAGGCAUAAUGGUCGUGCGGCUGGCUUGAAACCGGUGGUAGGUGGUUCGAUUCCCCCCUCUCUUG